GUAAUAUAAUAUAGUUAUUAUUAUAGUAGGGGACUGGUCUAUGGGUAAUAUAAUAUAGUUAUUAUUAUAGUAGGAGACUGGUCUAUGGGUAAUAUAAUAUAGUUAUUAUUAUAGUAGGAGACUGGUCUAUGGGUAAUAUAAUAUAGUUAUUAUUAUAGUAGGAGACUGGUCUAUGGGUAAUAUAAUAUAGUUAUUAUUAUAGUAGGAGACUGGUCUAUGGGUAAUAUAAUAUAGUUAUUAUUAUAGUAGGGGACUGGUCUAUGGGUAAUAUAAUAUAGUUAUUAUUAUAGUAGGAGACUGGUCUAUGGGUAAUAUAAUAUAGUUAUUAUUAUAGUAGGAGACUGGUCUAUGGGUAAUAUAAUAUAGUUAUUAUUAUAGUAGGAGACUGGUCUAUGGGUAAUAUAAUAUAGUUAUUAUUAUAGUAGGAGACUGGUCUAUGGGUAAUAUAAUAUAGUUAUUAUUAUAGUAGGAGACUGGUCUAAAGGUCUAUGGGUAAUAUAAUAUUGCACAAGUACGCUUUUAGUCAUGUAGUCUGUGGACACCAGCUGGUCCAACAUCUCAUUCCAAAAUCAUGGGCAUUAAUAUUGAGUUGGUCCCCACCCUUUGCUGCUAUAACAGCCUGUACUGUUCUGGGAAGCCAUUAAUAUUGAGUUGGACCCCCUUUGCUGCUAUAACAGCCUGUACUGUUCUGGGAAGCCAUUAAUAUGGAGUUGGACCCCCCUUUGCUGCUAUAACAGCAUCCACUCUUCUGGGAAGCCAUUAAUAUGGAGUUGGACCCCCGCUUUGCUGCUAUAACAGCAUCCACUCUUCUGGGAAUUGCUUUCCACUAGAUGUAGGAACAUUGCUGCUAUAAUUUUUAUUUUAUUUCACCUUUAUUUAACCAGGUAGGCAUGUUGAGAACAAGUUCUCAUUUACAAUUGCGACCUGGCCAAGUUAAAGCAAAGCAGUUCGACAGAUACAACGACACAGAGUUACUAAGUUACUAUUAAAAAUGAUAGCCUCCACUCUUCUGGGAAGGCUUUCCACUAGAUGUAGGAACAUUGCUGCUAUAACGGCCCCCACUCUUCUGGGAAGGCUUUCCACUAGAUGUAGGAACAUUGCUGCUAUAACAGCCUCCACUCUUCUGGGAAGGCUUUCCACUAGAUGUUGGAACAUUGCUGCUAUAACAGCCUCCACUCUUCAGGGAAGGCUUUCCACUAGAUGUUGGAACAUUGCUGCUAUAAAAGCCUCCACUCUUCUGGGAAGGCUUUCCACUAGAUGUUGGAACAUUGCUGCAGGGACUUGCUUCCAUUCAGCCACGAGCAUUAGUGAGGUCGGGCACUGAUGUUGGGCGAUUAGGCCUGGCUCGCAGUCUGCAUUCCAAUUCAUCCUAAAGGUUUUCGACUGGGUUCUUUCACACCGAUCUCGACAAACCAUUUCUGUAUGGACCUUGCUUUGUGCACGGGGGCAUUGUCAUGCUGAAACAGGAAAGGACCUUCUCCAACCUGUUGCCACGAAGUUGGAAGCACAGAAUUGUCUAGAAUGUCAUUGUAUGUUGUAGCAUUAACAUUUCCCUUCACUGGAACUAAGGGGCCCAGCCUGAACCUCCUCCCAACAAACUUUACAGUUGACUCUAUGCAUUCCAGCAGGUAAUGUUCUCCUGGCAUCCGCUGAACCCAGAUUCAUCUGUCGGGCUGCCAGAUGGUGAAGCGUGAUUCAUUACUCCAGAGAACACAUUUCCACUGCUCUCAUGGCAGCGAGCUUUACACCACUGAAGCCGACGCUUGGCAUUACGCAUGGUGAUCUUAGGCUUGUGUGCGGCUGCUCAGCCAUGGUAACCCAUUUCAUGAAGUUCCCGACAAACAGUUCUUAUGCUGACGUUGCUUCCAGAGGCAGUUUCUAACUCGGUAGUGAGUCUGGCAACUGAGGACAGACGAGUUUUAUGUGCUACGCACUUCAUCACUGGGCGGUCCCGUUCUGUGAGCUUGUGUGGUCUACCACUUUGCUGCUGAGCCGUUGUUGCUCCUUGACGUUUUUACUUCACAAUAACAACAUUUACGUUUUGACCGGGGCAGCUCUAUUAGGGCAGAAAUAUGAUGAACUGAUUUGUUGGAAAAGUGACACCCUAUUACGGUGCCACGUUGAAAGUCACUGAACUCUUCAGUAAGGCCAUUCUACUGCCAAUGUUUGUCUAUGGAGAUUGCAUGGCCGUGUGCUCGAUAUUAUACACCUGUCAGCAAUGGGUGUGGCUGAAAUAGUAUGUAUGUGUGUGUGUGUCUCAUGACGUUUUGUUGUCGUGCCAUGUUGUGUUGUUGUGUUGUGUUGUGAUGUUGUUGUGCUGUGUUGUGGUGGUGUUGUGUUGUGGUGGUGUUGUGUUGUGGUGGUGUUGUGGUGUUGUGUUGUUGUGAUGUGUUGUGGUGGUGUGUUGUUGUGUUGUGUUGUGGUGGUGUUGUGGUGUUGUGUUGUUGUGAUGUGUUGUGGUGGUGUUGUGUUGUUGUGUUGUUGUGUUGUGGUGGUGUUGUUGUGAUGUGUUGUUGUUGUGUUGUGGUGGUGUUGUUGUGUUGUGGUGGUGUUGUUGUGUUGUGUUGUGGUGUUGUGUUGUUGUGUUGUGUUGUGGUGGUGUUGUGGUGGUGUUGUUGUGUUGUGUUGUUGUGUUGUGUUGUUGUGGUGGUGUUGUUGUGUUGUGUUGUUGUGGUGGUGUUGUGGUGUUGUGGUGUUGUGUUGUGAUGUGUUGUUUUGUUGUGAUGUGUUGUGGUGGUGGUGUUGUGUUGUUGUGGUGGUGUGUUGUGUUGUGUUGUGUUGUGUUGUUGUGAUGUGUUGUGAUGUGGUGUUGUUGUGGUGGUGUUGUGUUGUUGUGAUGUGUUGUGUUGUGGUGGUGUUGUUGUGUUGUGAUGUGUUGUUGUGUUGUUGUACUGUGUUGUGGUGGUGUUGUGUUGUUGUGUUGUGUUGUGAUGUGUUGUUGUGUUGUGUUGUGAUGUGAUGUGUUGUGUUGUUGUGUUGUUGUGUUGUUGUGAUGUGUUGUUGUGGGCAGGUGCAGUAUGUACUAUCCUAUGUACUUUAC